rnacentral:lncRNA from 1 species
AAAAGAUCUAAAGAAUCAUCAUUGUCAUGGGUAAAGCUACUAAAUAAAGAAGCCUAAAAGAAAGAACAAAUUUCUCAGCAAAUGUCACCACAAAUAACAGUGUAUGAGUCUAGUCAAAUACUGCCAUCUAGAGAUAAAAAGAAGAUUCAUCAGGAUAGAAAUCUUCCAAGCAAUUCUAUAGGAGAGGAACAAGCAACCAGGGCAACGCUCCACAGCAAAUGCUGUAAGAAAAUCUAUGGGGAGGACCCAGAUCAGUGAAGCUCCCUGGCAAAUGCUACCCAAAGGAGGAAAAUCUUUAGGGAAAGAGAGCCAAGACAAAACGAAUUAGGGACGAGGAGUAUUUGGAGCAAGGCUGAGCUGACACUGAGCUCCCCACCGCCAUCUGCUGGAGCCCAUGAGAAGAAGUGUCCUGCAUUUCUCCCCUGCAGAAUCUACCUCUCCCGAGGGAGCGUCCAUGAUCUCAAUUCAUCUCUUCAGGAAAAACAGAUCACCACGGUGAAGUAAGCCCAGGCCAGUAUCCCCACAGAUGUCGUCUUGUAGCAGGAGCUCUGUGGUCGGUGUCAGCCAGGCUAAAGCUUGAGAGGACGUCUUCCUUCAGUAUUCUAUCACUCAUCCUAGCCACGAAGGCGUGAAGAUUUUCUCCACUUCAAGUUUAGUUUACUUACCUUUAGUGCUUCAAAAAUAAUCUUUUCAAAAGUUUUCACAUGCUAUAACUCUAGUUUAAGAUUAACAAAGACGAUACGACUCGGCAGACAAAAAUUAAGGUCAUGGCAUCCAGGGAUGAGGUCAGUGAGGGUGACGUAUACCCGAACAAUGGUUCCCAAAGACUUUCUUUAAAAAGGAACGAAGUUUCCAAAGUAUUUCCUCCUUCAGAGACAAGUUGGCAGCUGAGAGGGGAUAUUGGCCAAUUGCAUCUCCAGGAGAGGUGGCUGUGGGAGGGGAAGCCAGUGAACAGACACCACUGAGAAGAGAUGAAGAAUCCCACCACGCUUCUCAACUUCUCCACCUGCGAUUUGGUGGGAAAGUCAGACUCACGGAGGGAGAUCCGUGACACUGCCACGUUCUCCAGUCUAGCUGGUUACCUCUCUACACAUAAUCCUAAAUAAUCUAUUCCUCCGCUGGAAUGCAAGAAGAACCAACCGAGAUGACUCUUUUGUCACGACACUGACCCUCAGAUGAUUAUUAUAACUGCCUCUGUAAGUGCUGUUAUCCGUUGCUCACGGCUGUUAUUGGGAUCAGUAGUACAACCACCACUAGCCCCUAACUCUCCCCUACCAGGCACAGUCCCUCAGGUAGCUCGUGCUCCAGAAGGCAGUCUCCACGUCCUCCCUCCGUGAGCAUCCAUCUCCACCGUCCACUCCCCUGUGAUGCUUCAGUGAGUUAAUUCCCAUGAGGCACAGAGCAGGGCGCCUGGGAUAGGAAAUCCCGCAGAACGUCCCCGCCUGCUGCCCUUGGUGGUGGUGGUGGUUGUUACCCUAGACCCAUGUGAUUCUAAACCUGCAGUUUGUGGAUGCCCCCCGUUCCCCACCAUCUCCACCAUUUCUUUCCGUUAACACAAAGCCCCACACUGUGAUUCCUCUCACAGCCACGUGGUGUCACCAGCACUUCACCGUCGUUCGUCUGAAAUGGCUGAUUAACCAUUACCAGAGGCCUUUCCUGGGGACUCUGAUGGGGACCACGUGGCUGCUCACGCAAAGGGCGAGGCCACACAGAGAGAUCCUUCCACAACUGCAGAAGCUUGCGACCUCUCCGGGAGCUAUUAUCCAGACCAUGCCAGAUUCCUAAGACUGAAAGAAAAAAAGGGAGGGAGAGAAGUUUCUGGAGAUGCAGACUGCUAUGAAAGCACUCUUGCCGAAAAAGAUAAGGGAAAUUUUAAAGACAGAGGCUAUAAAAUCUUCAUUGCAUCUGUCUGUGUGUUUAUGUGUGUCUAUGUACAUGUUAUAUAUGUGAUUUUUCUACCUCUGGAUGGUACAAUUUCUAAAGGAGCUCUAUUUAAUUGGCUUAAAGCAAGCACUCAUAUAUACAUAAUAGAAACCCACCCACAUG